rnacentral:rRNA from 1 species
UACGCAGGGAGCGAGCGUUGUUCGGAAUCACUGGGCUUAAAGCGUGCGUAGGUGGAUAUGUAAGUCAGAAGUGAAAUCCCCGGGCUUAACCCGGGAACUGCUUUUGAGACUGCAUGUCUGGAAUUCGGUAGAGGUUAGUGGAAUAUCCAGUGUAGAGGUGAAAUUCGCAGAUAUUGGAUGGAACACCAGUGGCGAAGGCGACUAACUGGACCGACAUUGACACUGAGGCACGAAAGCGUGGGUAGCAAACAGG